GCUGGCGGCACGCCUAACACAUGCAAGUCGAACGAAGUAGCAAUACUUAGUGGCAGACGGGUGAGUAACAUGUAGGUAUCUUCCCUUUGGCCUGGAAUAACACGAGGAAACUUGUGCUAAUACUGGAUAAGUCUUUACAGAGAAAGCUUUAUGCACCAUUGGAUGAGCCUGCACUUGAUUAGUUUGUUGGUGGGGUAAUGGCCUACCAAGACUUUGAUCAAUAGCUGAUUUGAGAGGAUGAUCAGCCACAUUGGGACUGAGACACGGCCCAAACUCCUACGGGAGGCAGCAGUGGGGAAUCUUGCACAAUGGAGGAAACUCUGAUGCAGCGAUGCCGCGUGAGUGAAGAAGGCCUUUGGGUUGUAAAGCUCUUUCGUCGGGGAAGAAAAUGACUGUACCCGAAUAAGAAGGUCCGGCUAACUUCGUGCCAGCAGCCGCGGUAAUACGAAGGGACCUAGCGUAGUUCGGAAUUACUGGGCUUAAAGAGUUCGUAGGUGGUUGAAAAAGUUGGUGGUGAAAUCCCAGAGCUUAACUCUGGAACUGCCAUCAAAACUUUUCAGCUAGAGUUUGAUAGAGGAAAGCAGAAUUUCUAGUGUAGAGGUGAAAUUCGUAGAUAUUAGAAAGAAUACCAAUUGCGAAGGCAGCUUUCUGGAUCAUUACUGACACUGAGGAACGAAAGCAUGGGUAGCGAAGAGGAUUAGAUACCCUCGUAGUCCAUGCCGUAAACGAUGUGUGUUAGACGUUGGAAAUUUAUUUUCAGUGUCGCAGCGAAAGCGAUAAACACACCGCCUGGGGAGUACGAC
rnacentral:rRNA from 1 species